rnacentral:piRNA from 1 species
GAACAUGACAGGGAUCUUCACAGUGC